CAGUAGCCGCGGGAAAACGGAAGGUUCUGGCGUUAUCCGGAUUUAUUGGGUUUAAAGGGAGCGUAGGCCGUUUUUUAAGCGUGUUGUGAAAUGUACCGGCUCAACCGGUGAUGUGCAGCGCGAACUGGUAGACUUGAGUACGCAGUAAGCAGGCGGAAUUCGUGGUGUAGCGGUGAAAUGCUUAGAUAUCACGAAGAACUCCGAUUGCGUAGGCAGCUUGCUGUAGCGUAACUGACGCUGAAGCUCGAAGGUGCGGGUAUCGAACAGGAUUAGAUACCCCCGUAGUCCCUGUCUCUUAUAU
rnacentral:rRNA from 1 species